rnacentral:rRNA from 1 species
UACGAAGGGGGCUAGCGUUGUUCGGAAUUACUGGGCGUAAAGCGUGCGCAGGCGGCUUCUCAAGUCAGGGGUGAAAGCCCAGAGCUCAACUCUGGAAUUGCCUUUGAGACUGAGUGGCUUGAGUACGAGAGAGGUGAGUGGAAUUCCCAGUGUAGAGGUGAAAUUCGUAGAUAUUGGGAAGAACACCGAUGGCGAAGGCAAUCCCCUGGACCUGUACUGACGCUCAUGCACGAAAGCGUGGGGAGCAAACAGG